CCUACGGGAGGCUGCAGUGGGGAAUAUUGCACAAUGGGGGAAACCCUGAUGCAGCGACGUCGCGUGAGUGAAGAAGUAUUUCGGUAUGUAAAGCUCUAUCAGCAGGGAAGAAAAUGACGGUACCUGAUCAAGAAGCCCCGGCUAACUACGUGCCAGCAGCCGCGGUAAUACGUAGGGGGCAAGCGUUAUCCGGAUUUACUGGGUGUAAAGGGAGCGUAGACGGCAGCACAAGUCUGGAGUGAAAUGCCGGGGCUUAACCCCGGAACUGCUUUGGAAACUGUGCAGCUAGAGUGCAGGAGAGGUAGGUGGAAUUCCUGGUGUAGCGGUGAAAUGCGUAGAUAUUAGGAGGAACUCCAGUGGCGAAGGCGGCUUGCUGGACUGUAACUGACGUUGAGGCUCGAAAGCGUGGGGAGCAAACAGGAUUAGAUACCCCGGUAGUC
rnacentral:rRNA from 1 species